CAGGGUCCCGUUCGAGUCAAAGCUUCGUGAACCCGGUCAGGUCCGGAAGGAAGCAGCCGUAAUGGGGGUUUGGUUGCGGGCGUGCGGUCCUGCGGU
rnacentral:SRP_RNA from 1 species